rnacentral:rRNA from 1 species
GUGCCAGCCGCCGCGGUAAUACGUAGGUGGCGAGCGUUAUCCGGAAUUACUGGGUGUAAAGGGCGUGUAGGCGGGAAUGUAAGUCAGAUGUGAAACUCCGGGGCUUAACUUCGGUUCUGCAUUCGAAACUAGGUUUCUUGAGUGCUGGAGAGGAAAGCGGAAUUCCUAGUGUAGCGGUGAAAUGCGUAGAUAUUAGGAAGAACACCAGUGGCGAAGGCGGCAUUCUGGACAGUAACUGACGCUGAGGGGCGAAAGCGUGGGGAGCAAACAGGGUUAGAUACCCUGGU